AUAUUACAUAAAUCUAAACAUUAAAAGUUUGUUUUCAUAAUUAAGUAAUGAGUCUAAAUACUGGAAUUUAAAUGUUGUUGUUUUUGUUUCUUUUAUUUGUGCACAAUGGUAAAUAAAAUAUUUAAAAUAUCAAAUUAAAAAAACUUAAAUAUGCAUUAAAAACUAAUGUUGAUUCAUUAAAAUACUGAUUUAAAAAACGAACACCAAAUCUUAAAAGAUAUUAAAUAUAAAUAUUAAGCGUAACUGUUACAUGUUCUUGCAGAAAUCCGAUGCUGGUCUGCUUCGUUCCAAACAAGCCUGAUAAAACAUUUGAAGAAAACUGAACUAAAGGUUGGCAGUGUUGCUCAAAUCUGACUGCAGUACUUCCUUGUCCUUCGCUGGUUUCCUAAUUAGCUACACCUGCCUUCAAGUAGUCACACAGCUGGCCAAUUAAGCAAGAAGGUAAGAAAAUAAAGUUUUGCAAAGAGUUUAGCUGACUCACUGUCUGUUCAUUAGUUUCUAGGUCCGUAGUUUGGUAGCAGCUGACAGAAGUGGCUGAAUUUGCUGCUUCCUGUAGCUGAAGCUAUGAUGUUUAUAUUAAGAUGGUUGCUGUUGUUCUUGCUAGCUGUCAAAAGUCAUCAAGAAAAUGAUCAAGAAGUGCCCCAUACGGAUGAUCAACUGGAUUUAAGCAGCAUUUACUUUGGAAAUGAGACUUUAUGGAGCAGUGGGAUACUUGAUAAUUCAACCUUGAAUGAGAGUAACUACAACACAACAUUAACAGUGGAUUAUCAGCCUGAAGCCGAAACACUGGCACAAAACAGGCAGUCACAAGAGCCCCAGGUGCCGCCACCUACCUCCCCACCCAGUGAGACUACCUGCCCAUCACAGGUGCUCUUGCAGGUGCCAAUGCCGCGCAGUCCUCCACUUUGGCAGCUGGAGGUACCACAGCAGCCCCGUUCUCCACUCCAUCGGCUGGGGGUGGCUAAGGUGUCCCAGGUCUCCCCAGAGUUCUACUCCCCAUCUAAACAGCUGUGGGUGCCAGAUGAGCCUGGUUCAUCACACCAGCGGCUGGAUUUAAUCCAAAUGCAUGAAUCCCCUCUCCAACGGCUACAAUUUGCAGAGGUGCGCCAGCAGCCUAGAGCUGAACUCAGACGGGCACAGAUGGCUCAGGUACCCCAGCAGCCAAGUAUCCGGCUCCAACAGCUGCAAAUGGCCCAGUGGCCCCAACGGCCACUCUACCAGCUCCUGAUCCCUCGCUACCAGGCCAAGUACUCGCACUACCAGCCUAUGAUAUCCCGUUACCAGGAAAGGCUGCUAGGACACCGACCCAAGACUCCGCUCUUUCGGAUCAAGCAUCUUCGACACCCCCAGCAGAUCAGAUAUACACGUUAG
rnacentral:lncRNA from 1 species